rnacentral:rRNA from 1 species
UAGGGAAUCUUCCACAAUGGACGCAAGUCUGAUGGAGCAACGCCGCGUGAGUGAAGAAGGUUUUCGGAUCGUAAAGCUCUGUUGUUGGUGAAGAAGGAUAGAGGCAGUAACUGGUCUUUAUUUGACGGUAAUCAACCAGAAAGUCACGGCUAACUACGUGCCAGCAGCCGCGGUAAUACGUAGGUGGCAAGCGUUGUCCGGAUUUAUUGGGCGUAAAGCGAGCGCAGGCGGAAUGAUAAGUCUGAUGUGAAAGCCCACGGCUCAACCGUGGAACUACAUCGGAAACUGUCAUUCUUGAGUGCAGAAGAGGGGAGUGGAAUUCCAUGUGUAGCGGUGGAAUGCGUAGAUAUAUGGAAGAACACCAGUGGCGAAGGCGGCUCUCUGGUCUGCAACUGACGCUGAGGCUCGAAAGCAUGGGUAGCGAACAGG